ACAUACAACAUAUUAGUGUUAGGUUCCAACAUUUAAAGAAUUUGAUCCUAAGAAGAUUUGAGCACAUUUGGGAAUUAGUCCAAUGAAGGGGUAAAUAACUCAAUGGGAUUUCUUAUAAAAAUGCUUUUCCUUGCCAUUGUUUUUAGUUAGCAAGUACAUUUCUAACUCAGGACGGAGGCAUCUCUGCCCCACAGAAAUGUGCUAAAGAAGCAGACAUUAGGACAUGCUGAUUUAGAAAACAUAGCUCAGAGACCUAUAUAGAAACUCCCUCUGCUUUUGGUCUUAUGUUUACUUUUUAUUAUCAGGCUAAAAUAUCAUAGCACAGCACAUCCCAGCAGAUCCAUCACUCUCAGAGAAAGGCAC
rnacentral:lncRNA from 1 species